rnacentral:antisense_RNA from 1 species
AACCCCAUAGGCAAGCUACUAUUAUUGCACCUGUUUCACAGAUAGGGAAAGGGGUCCCAGAAGUGGCAAACCCAAGUUCACCCUUCUGAGAAAUGGUGUGGAAACUGGAGCCCAGAGAGCAUAAGUAACCUGUCCAGAGAUGCACAACACACAAAUAGUGCGCUUCCAAAGCUCAUGUUCGCUCUGACCCAGGCCGCUGCUCAGAUAAAAAACUUACCGGAUCGGACAUGGUGAAGUAAGCACCUGAGAAACGGGUGCGAUUAUUUUCUUCCUGCACCUGCAGGGCGGGCUGCACGAAGGCGGCGGCCAGGCCGUGUGCAUUCCCCGGAAGCUUUCUUAAUGCAAAGUGACAGAGCGCGGCGGUCUGGGGCUGGAGCCGCUGCCCCCUCUACGUGCUCCCCAAUUCCGGCGCUUGGUGGUUCUCCCUGCACUCUGGCGCCGCACCCCGCUGGCUCUCCGCUCCCAGCCCGUGCUGCCACGCUUGGGCGCCCUGCACUGGGGACAUCCCUCCCAGUUCUUCCCAGCCUCUCUGGGAGCCGGCGAGGGGGCUCCGCCAAGACGCCCCUGCUAGGCUGGCAGCCCGGGUGCUGGCCCCACUCCUGGCGAACCCGCCUCACCUCCUGGCGCUCCUGUUGCCGCUGCUUGCGCUGGCCCUCGGGUCG